rnacentral:rRNA from 1 species
AUUGAACGCUGGCGGCAGGCCUAACACAUGCAAGUCGAGCGGAGCGGCGGACGGGUGGGUAAUGCCUAGGAAUCUGCCUGGUAGUGGGGGAUAACGUCCGGAAACGGUCGGUAAUACCGCAUACUAGCAGAUGAGGCUAGGUCGGAUUAGCUAGUUGGUGGGGUAGAGGCCUACCAAGGCGACGAACCGUACCUGGUCUGAGAGGAUGAUCAGUCACACUGGAACUGAGACACGGCCCAGACUCCUACGGGAGGCAGCAGUGGGGAAUAUUGGACAAUGGGCGAAAGCCUGAUCCAGCCAUGCCGCGUGUGUGAAGAAGGUCUUCGGAUUGUAAAGCACUUUAAGUUGGGAGGCGUUACCAACAGAAGAAGCACCGGCUAACUUCGUGCCAGCAGCCGCGGUAAUUC